rnacentral:rRNA from 1 species
UACGGAGGGAGCUAGCGUUGUUCGGAAUUACUGGGCGUAAAGCGUACGUAGGCGGUUAUUCAAGUCAGAGGUGAAAGCCUGGAGCUCAACUCCAGAACUGCCUUUGAAACUAGAUAGCUAGAAUCACGGAGAGGUUAGUGGAAUUCCGAGUGUAGAGGUGAAGUUCGUAGAUAUUCGGAAGAACACCAGUGGCGAAGGCGACUAACUGGACGUGUAUUGACGCUGAGGUACGAAAGCGUGGGGAGCAAACAGG